rnacentral:pre_miRNA from 1 species
CUUUGGUCGUCCAGCCUUAGGUGACUUCUCUGAUCAUAAAGCUAGACAACCAUUGAA